rnacentral:rRNA from 1 species
AACGAACGCUGGCGGCGCGCCUAACACAUGCAAGUCGAACGAGAAUCCGGGGCAACCCGGUAGUAAAGUGGCAAACGGGUGAGGAAUACAUGGGUAACCUACCCUUGAGAAGGGAAUAACCCGCCGAAAGGUGAGCUAAUACCCUAUACGCUAUCUUUUUUUCGAAAAGGAUAGGAAAGCCGGGUCGAGGACCUGGUACUCAAGGAGGGGCUCAUGUCCUAUCAGCUUGUUGGUGGGGUAACGGCCUACCAAGGCUACGACGGGUAGCUGGUCUGAGAGGAUGAUCAGCCACACUGGCACUGAGAUACGGGCCAGACUCCUACGGGAGGCAGCAGUGAGGAAUAUUGCGCAAUGGGCGAAAGCCUGACGCAGCGACGCCGCGUGGGGGAUGAAGGUUUUCGGAUUGUAAACCCCUUUCAUGAGGAAAGAUAAAGUGGGUAACCACUUAGACGGUACCUCAAGAAGAAGCCACGGCUAACUUCGUGCCAGCAGCCGCGGUAAGUGACUACUG